rnacentral:rRNA from 1 species
UGCUUUGUGAAGGCCUUCAGCCUUUUAUGGCGCAGCUAACGCAUUAAAUUGACCGCCUGGGGAAUACGGGCGCAAGGUUAAAACUCAAAUGAAUUUGCGGGGGCCCCCCCCAACGGGGGAACAUGUGGUUUAAUUUCAAGCAACCCGAAAAACCUUACCAGGGCUUGGCAUCCAUUGAACUUUCUAAAAAUAAAUUGUUGCCUUCGGGAACAUUAAGACAGGGGCUGCAUGGCUGUCCUCAGCUCGUGGCGUGAAAUGUUGGGUUAAGUCCCGUAACGAGCGCCACCCUUGUCCUUAAUUACCAACACGUAAUGGUGGGCACUCUAAGGAAACUGCCGGUGACAAACCGGAGAAAGGUGGGGAUGACGUCAAGUCAUCAUGGCCCUUACGGCCUGGGCUACACACGUGCUACAAUGGUCGGUACAGAGGGUUGCCAACCCGCGAGGUGGAGCUAAUCCCAUAAAACCGAUCGUAUUCCGGAUCGCAGCUCUGCAACUCCCCUGCGUGAAGUCGAAAUCCCUAGUAAUCGCGAAUCACAAUGUCGCGUGAAAUACUUUCCCGGGCCUUGUACACACCGCCCGUCACACCAUGGAGUUGGGUUGCACCAAAAGUAGCUAGUCAAACCUUCUGGAGGACGGUUACCACGGUGUGAUUCAUGACUGGGGUGAAGUCGUAACAAGGUAACCGUAGUC